CACAUACAACUGUAUAUAUGCCACGCAUUACUCACCAAAAUGCAUUUGUUUCCAAGUUGGAAGGAAGCUUUUACACCUUGCAUUGCGGCACUUCGAGAUAGCUCAGUCUUUUAUCCCGCCGAUGGCUCUGGUGGUAGAAGAGUUUGAAUAUGCCACAUCCACACUGAAGACAACAGAGAACUGUUUGUCCAAGAGAAGGUUUGGAGCAUCUAGCCAUGAGACAAGGAAUCUUCUGGCUGGAGCUUUUCACAAUCCAUGGGAUUAUUUUUUAUAUAAAAGGUCUCCUCACCCUGCAAGUAGUGAUGCCAAGUAGUAUUACAGCAUGCAGAGGAAAAACAGGCAACUCUGCCAGUGAUGUGCUGGCACUAGAUGUGGUAGAGGCAUUCAGGACUCCUACUAUGGAGCUGGUCAUCUAUUAAAAGAAGACAAUUUCCUGCCAGACAAGAGCUUUGCUGCAUUUAGAUAUUUUAGCUUAUUACACAAUAACACCAACUAAAUUAUUAUAAUCUCUCUAAUGUAAUAGCCACUUCUUGGUGUUGUAAGACAGUGGUUCCAGCAGAAUUUAACCACUUACCAACUAGCACAGCUGAGCACAGUAGAACUCUCUGCUAUGAGUGCUAAUUUGUGUUUAACCUCAGUCUGGCUUUUCAGAGCUCCUCAAGGUCAUGCUUCGUUAACACCCUGAGUCUUUCCCUUGCUAUGGCAGCUAUGAAAUAUUGAUGGUGGAAGAGACUUCUGUGUGUUGCAAUAAUGCUACUCUCUUACUGUCUAAUAUCACUCUCUGAUUUCCUUUUACUAGCCCACUAAUCGUAGACAGUUGACCCUCUGGAGAAGGGACCACUGUAUUGUAGAUGUUCUGAUUUUCAUAGUUUGGCCAUCCUUUUGGAAAGGUGGCAUCAGCCAUUUGGAUACACUCAGAAUAAUUAAUACAAAAUUCUGUGAAUUUAAAUGAAUGUAGGUGCUAGACUUCUGCUUGCUAAUUAUUCUUCUCCAUGACUGCUUUGAUUGGCUCUAAAUAGCUGCUAUUUUCUAAGAUAUAGUAAACAGUGGAGUAGUCUCUUCCUCAAUGUUUUGACUUGCAUUUCUUCACCUGGAAUUAAUAUUUUUUCUAACCAUUACUCCAGACUUGGUGAAACUUCUGAGCAUGAGACUCUAACAAAACUAGAGCUAAGCAACUUGGCCAUGAGAAAAAAAGUUUGUGAGCAUCCAGUGAUGAGGACAACCUUCUAACUCUGAACUUUCCCAAGGCACUGGACGUUAUGCUUGUGAACUCCAGAGACAAGCUUUUGUGAACUACAGAGACAAGCUUGUAAAGGACAUUUUUAGAAUUUGUAUGGCUUUUUCUUGUCCUCCAAUUAGAGCUCAAUCAAAGAAAUUAGAUUUGCACAUCUCAGCUAAGGAAAAUUCUUCAGGGAUCUUGUCUUGCUCGUGUCUGAGUUUGUAUUAGGCAUAAUUCUACUGAAGUUUCUGGAGUUCCACCAGUAUUAAAAUUGCAUUAUUGAAGGAAAAGUAGACCCAGAGACUGGAGACUUUUGCUCAUGAUAACUAAACUUUGUCUAGACUGGGGAUUUUGUCCUAAUUACUGCCACUGGCUGCUAGCCAUUGGUGUUACUACACCAUGGUGACCCCUUGCAUUGGCAGGUAGUGGUGCUGCUGGUAGAGUUUUGUCAGUUUUAGGCAUGGAUAAUGCUCUCUGCUGGAUGUCUUGGCUUUCCCCUUUUGUACCAUGUGAGAUCUGUUAGUGUUUAGUUGUGUGAGAUUAGAACCUGGCAAAUAUCUGUUAUACAUGGGGCCCAUGGGUUCAGAGACAGGGAAAAUACUAAACUCCCCCAAACUUUUCCAGAAAUUCUCGAAGCAUUUGUAAAUUAGCUUUGCUGUCACAAAUGGGUCAAAUGGAGAACACGUGAAGGUGGUGGAGACCAAAAGUGAAUAUUAGCAUAAGAAAAAAUCAGUUCUGGUAUUCCAGAAUGCUAUGGGACAAAAAACAAACAAACAAACAAAAAAAAAAACAAAAAAAAAAAACCUCACCAAGUUUAUCAGCCCAUCUAACCCCUUUCCCAAUAAUAUAUUAAGUCAUCUUGCUAUACAGUUUGCAUUGCUUUGUCUAGCUUAGUUCUUAAUGACUCAACUCAUGGAGUCUGCACCACUUCCCUAGGGAUAGAGUUUUCCACUGUCUGAACUAUUACGAUAUUUUUCCUGAUAUCCAGACUACGAUUUCAUUUUAUCCCAUUAUUCUUAGCCUUCUCCUUCUUCUCAAACCCACCUAAACAAUUCUCUUAUUUGGUACUUACCCCUUUCGAAGUCUCAUAGGAAUUUCUGUUUCUCUUAGCUGUCCCCAGUCUGUGUGCUCUCAUAUUUAGUCCGUUGAUGUUUUGCAAUGAAAUAUUCUGGAUAGUAUGAAUAAGGAUCAUGACAUGUGUAAAACAAGCAGGGUUGUUUUUCUGCUCUACUUGGCACUGGUGAAAGCCUCAGCUGGCGUAGUGAAUUCAGUUUUGGACGCUGCUAUUUAAGAAAAGACACUGACAAAUUGGAGAAAGCUCAAAGGAGAGUAGCAAAAAUGAUAAAAGAUUUAGAAAAUCAGACUUAUGAGAAGCAGCUGAGAAAGACAGGCAAGUUCAGUCUGCACAGGAGACUGAAGGAAGACAUAAUAGCUGUCUGCAAAUACAUAAAAUGAUUUGAUAAAGGGAACAGGGGCCAGUUAUUCUCAUUAGUCAGAGAGGAAAGAAGCAGCAGAAAUUGAUUUAAGCUGCAGAAAGGAAAAUUCCGGCUACAUAUGUGGGAGAUGUGUUUCAGCUACUCAAUUAGUCAAUGGAACAAGCUGCUGUGAAAGGUUACAGAGUUAAAAUGGCUACAGAUAUUCCAGGCUAGACUCAACACAAAACUGUUGGAGCUAAUGAAAAAAAAAUGCCACCUUGGUUUUGUAAAGGUAACCAGAUGGACUGCAGAUGACAGUGACUCUCAAGCAAAUAUCAUUUUGUAUUGGAAAUACAAUGUACUCAAAUUAAUAUUAAAAUGUAUGUGCAAGGACAGAAGCAUGAGCAAAAAGAAUUUUAAUCUCUCUACCUGUACAUCUUAUAGUGAGGAAGAGAAAGGAGCAGUGUAUGGUAAUCUUGUGAAGAUAUUGGGAAGACACAGCGGCAGAGGGUAUGAAUAACCAUAGUUCGCCCAUGUGGCAGCUUCAGUUUCAGCUCAAAUGUUGUGUGGCUGAAUGCGCACCAUGCACUGACCGGGUAAAUAAGCACAACUGAAAGGGUUAAGAAGAGUCCAAGGCAGGGUGUGGGUAGAGCAAAUUUGUGUACGCAUUUUUAUGGAUCAGCUUAUCCCAUGGGACUUGCCUGAAGUCACUGAGAAAAUCCAUGGAGGCAGUGGGAGUUGGACCCAGGCGUCUGAAUCCUCAGGCCAGCACUUUACUACAAGCCCAUCUUUGUAGCAUCGAUUAAUUCCUGCCUCCUUAUGAACUCAACAGCCAGCUGACUGAUCCUGCCUGGCUCAUGUAUCUUGAAUUCCUGAAAACUUUCAUGAGGAUCUUUAUGUGCAUUAAAGAAAAAAAUAAAGAGAGAGGAAUAUAGAAUAAGCUGAUGAUUUCUCCUGUUGUUCUCUAGUCAAAAGAUACCACUAGGAGCUGGCAUAGAUGUGGACUGCACAUAAAAAGAUCAACAUCUCAUGAAAUGGUAGCUGAUGAUUGGCAACAAACAAAAAACAGAGCUCCCCUGGAGAUGUAGCAGUACCACGAGCCUCCUGCCAGCUGAGCAGCACUGAUGCCAACAGUGGAGAAAAAGUAAAGCUCUUUGCUUGUUAUUAGAGACCAAUUCUUGUAAUUGAUGUCUGUGCUUUUGAUCCUCAGAAGUCAGUGGGGUUCAGGCCUCCUUGAAAUAAGAACAGUGUAUUUUGCAUUGCUUGUGGUAUGUUUAACAUAUUAUGGGGCGUUACUCUCUGGCAUUGAGUACUGAACUUAAAACAGCAUUGCAUAAUUCACCAAGAUUGCAUUACUAUGAGUUGGCUGGACAUUUCAUCAGUUCAGGAUAACACACAACCUGAAGAUGGUUUUAGCACUGCAAUUGCAAAAGUGUUAGCUGGGAAGAAUCCAGCCUGGCUGUUCAGCAUGAAUUGCUGUCACUUGUCAGCUGAUAUGUCUUUAUUCUGGUCAGUUACCAAAGUGGAAUUGCAAUUUUUCCCUCCCAUUAGUCGUCACCACUACACAAACUUUAUUUGGAGGAAAAGGUCAUGGUGAGGACUCUGAGCUGUCCUGGCUGUAGCUCAGGAUAAAGAGCAGAAGUACCCAGGCAAUUCCCUGGAAUAAAUUCAAAGACUGUGAAUGUAGUUCUGCUUUUUACCUGGCUGUCUGUGGACCACAGGGUCUGUUUAAUUGGGAGAUGAAGCCCCUUCUGCUGGCUGAUGAGAAAGCUGUAGCUUCCAGCACUGCCUGGCACCAAGCCAUCCAGGAAUGGAAGGGGAAUUCCUAAGCAAGCAUUCCAGUUAGUUUUUCUCAGAUGCUUUGGGCUGUUGGAAUUGAUUUUGCAGUCUGUGCUUUUGUCCUUUUGAGAUUUUCCACUCAGCAAACUGGGAACUAUUGUCUUGGGUGUCUCCUACCAGGGGGAAGGAAAGGGGAAAACUUUUUGUGAGAGGGGUGGUUUGACAGCUGCUGAAACCUCAAUUGGAUGCACACUUGUAUUUUUCUUUCUAAGCCUUUUAAAGGGAUUCUGCAGAUUUAAUAAGAAACUGUCUUGGCAGCAGGAAUGAGGUGUGACAGAAGCCUUUUCUUGUGAUUUAUUUUCCUCUAAGCACAGUGCAUGUGUCAGACAACAUCACCCAUGAACAAUCAGUACUUUCUCAAAGAGCUAUCUUCCUCCUUCCAUGGUAGCAUCCUGUGUGAUGCACAUCCGUUGGCUACCUGAAUUUGAGAAUGUAUAAUUUUGGUGAUGGUUACCUCUGAGCUUAAACCUUGAAUGUGGCAGAUAUUACCAGCCUCUUCUUGUAGCCAGUGCUACAAAGAAGGAAGCUAACAAUGCAAUUCCUUGGGGCUUGAUGCAGAGGCAUGAUAAGGCGUGAUACAGCUUAGAUUCCUUACGCAUGAGAUGAGAAGCAACUCUUCUGCCCAUUGUCCAGAAUCGUGGGGCUCAAUGUUUACUUUUUUUUGUUCUGAAGCUGAGGUUUGAAGGUCCCAAACCAAUCCAUAGAUCUUGGAGAGAAUUUUUCACAAGCAGUACUGAGUUGUGCUGGGGUGUGCAGUGUUACACUGGGAAAGCUUUUAUUCUGAUUUUGGUCCUUGUGGCUUGGAAAAAAAGCCUCAGGGAGUUGAUUCAAAUAUAUCUAGAUAUAUUUACUCUCCUUUCUGACUUUCUCUGCAGAAAAAUAUGACAUGAUUCGUAGCUCUCCUUUCCUCAUUGCCUUCCAGGCCAUUUCAAAGUCUAUCAGUGUUAAUAAGCAUUGAUUUCUGCAGUUUGGAUUAAAUCCCAAAUAAUGAUGUAAUUCGGUCUUUAAUGAGACCACCUCCAUUGGUAGAUUGUCUGAUUAUGGUUUGCAGGAUUUUUCCCUUAGACUUGACACCUCCUCCAGAUGAAGACCGUGAUUUCUGGAUGCAUGAUGCCUUCACAUGGGUAACCAAAGCUGUGCACCACUAUUGCCACUCCAGGAACUGAGAGCAGAGCAAAUGAAAUUGUCUCUUCCAGUACUUCACUGGAAAAGAAUUUCUAGGCAAGCUGCCUAGCAGGCACACUGUACUAUGUUCUUAGAAAGCAAUAGAUCUAUUUAGGACUGCCAUAUCUCUUUGGAAUUUACUGUAUGAAAAAAAAAAAUCCAAAGCCCUUUUGGCAGGAACUGAUCAGUGCUGACUGAGAUUUGCAGCUUCUGACUGACAAACUAAUCCCAGCGUUUCAUUAGAAACUGCUUCCUACUAACUGCUGUUUGCAUUGCAUCUGAAUUCAGGGGGAUCAUGUCAGAAAGAAAUGAAGCAGAUCUGUUUCUGAAUUGUUAGCCCCCCUUCAAUCACUUGCACACGCACAUACGUAUUUAUGCAUCUGGGUAGAUGUUCAGGUUUUUUUGUGUUACAUGAAAUGAAUGUAUUCCAGCUUGCUCCUAAUCCCUUCUUAGUGAGAGUGUAGAUAAACUAAGAGUUUUGAUGACUUGUAAUUAUUUAAGAGAGCAGAGUGGCUUUAUUUUUUCAAUACAUAGGUGGCACAAUCUCUAUUAUAAGCAUCAGUUCUUGCUCCAGACUUUUUGUAAAGGUUUUGAACUUUAGUGAGUCAUUUUACAGAGCAUGGUUCCAGCUUUGUAUAUUCAUCCAAUCCACGUCUCCAGCAUGCUCUUAAGGGAGUGCAUUGUGCUCAGCACCAGGAAGCACCUGAUGCACAACUGCAAUCCAAGGCACUACGUGGGCAUAGCAUGAGGGUAAAGCUAAUGUCAGUGCUUCAAACGGUGAAGAAAGGCAGGUCCACAACCUUUCCAUGUGACAGUGAGGGAGGUCAACUCUGUACAGGCUUCCUGGUACUGGAGCUGGGGUUCUGAAGGGAGAUAUGGUUUGUCCUUUGCAUGUGAGACUGUCCCUUAUUGGCACAGUUUCACCUUAUACUGGAUGUGAACUCUAAUAAUGUUCAAAGAGGGAAUGGACCAUUGGGAACAACUUACUACGUAGCUGUGGACAAUAAUAUUUCAUCUUAAAGCACAUUUCCAAGUCUUGAUUUGAGGAUUCUGAAGUACGAAGAUAUUGAUCAUCAUGUGGAAAGUUCUCAGACAGUCCCUGGGGAACUCAGCUAUGUCAAGUCCUUGAGAAUAAAUCAUAUGGAAAACAGUAAACAGUUACCUGGAAGAAGAGAAGCAGCAGAUGGUGCAGCAGAUCUUCAUAGUCUACUCAGCCAUUAGACUGAAAGCUCUUAAGAGCAACAGAGCUAUCACUCACAAUGUGCUUGUAAGGCCUCCAGCACUGUGAUGUCUGUACCUUCUUGUGACAUUUAGAUGCUCCAUGAAGGACAUACCGAACAGUAUAGUGUGAAAAAGGAAAAUCAGAAAUGGAAAUAAUUUGCUGAAACUUGGGUUAGCUGUAGUCUGCUAAAAUAAUUUUGCUCUAAGUCCAGCCUUUUAAGACAUACAGACUCUCUUGUCCUGUAGCAAAAUUAAAGUAUGAGCAAUCAGUAUCCCCCAGAGAAAGUGGCUUAUGCAGGCAGUAGCUUAAAAGUAAAAUAAGAAUCAUUCAGAUCUCUGGGUCUGUAAC